AAUAUACUCCCUCCGUCCGGAAAAGCUUGUCCUUGAAAUGGGUGUAUCUAGCACUAAUUUGGUGCUAGAUACAUCCAUUCAAAGGACAAGUUUGGGACAAGCUUUUUCGGACGGUGGGAGUAAUAU
rfam:Triticum aestivum genome assembly, contig: Triticum_aestivum_CS42_TGACv1_scaffold_033154_1BL